CCCCCCCCCAAAAAAAACCUCUUUUUCAAGCUCAUUUGGCAAUAAGUGCUUUUGGGAUGGGACGAGGCAAGUCAUGAAGCAUCAUCUUCAAAAUGCAAACAGAUAUUAACAAGUAGAACAAAGUACCUGAUGGCAAAUCUCGCAAAUUAUAUCACCCUUCUCAUUGCACCAACGCUGAACACAUUUCCUAUGAGCAUACUGCAUUUUGUAACAAA
rnacentral:lncRNA from 1 species